CAAAACUAUAUCAAGCAUGAAACCGAUUAGUUUCAUAGAGCUCAAACCCAAUCGUAAACAACAAACAGAGCCACAUCUCACAAACAAUGGUAGACACAAAUAUGUCCGUAAUUAACAAAUCAAAUCAACCCAAAGAGGAUGGAGAAUGGGUUCUGGGUGUUCGUCGAUAUGGCUAGCGGAAGAUGGAGGAAUCUUAAGGAAAUGACAGAGAAAACUCAAUGAAGAUGAUGAUUGUUGAAUACAUAAAAGAUUUCAUUUUUUUUUUUUGGUUUCUUCAUUUUUGCAGAAAGUUUAAGAAAUAACUGAUUGAUAAUAAUACUUAGACGAGUUAAUAACCCUUCAUUUGUUUUAAUCUUUCUCCUAAAUUUUGUAAUCUUUGAUUUGUUAUCUUGGAAAAAGAUAAACAAAGAGUUUGUAACUUUCAAGCAAUUUCUUCUCUUUACGACUAUUUCGAUUUUCUCCAAGAUCCCAAUCGUAGGACACACUUCUUAUCAUUGGAAUAGAGAACAAUGUAAUCUAGCUAUUUACAACCUAAACGUAGU